ensembl:lncRNA
AGCUUCUAGAAGCUUCUGAGCGGCUAACAGGAAGUUGGCGUCUCACAGGCAAGCAAACACUUUGCUCGGCUAAAUGCUACGGUAAGGGACAUUUUACUACCGUCUGUGGCCAAAAUGAAUCCCUGUUGUGGAUGUUCUUUGGUUCGACAAAGGUUUUACCGGAGAGGAGUGAGCCGUAACUUGACGUCAUAGCUGUUGAAUCUGAAGACUUUUUUUCUGUCGAGACGCUAUUUUACUUUAGCCAAGAGAGAAACUGUGGAUCAAAGACGUUAAACAGCCGUGGCCGCUGAGCCCGACUACGCUAAUGAGGUGGAACAAGGUCGUUCUGGUCCUUUGACUUGUCAGGAAAACCCACACAGCGACUGAGGCCUCAUCAGGAGUCCGUGUGAGCCUCCAAUCCCCCCCCAGGUUCCCUCACCACGACAACCAAGGACCCCUCAAAAACCUGAGGACCACAAGCAGCUUUGAAUGAGCAGAAAGAAACCUGGCCGGAGGAUACGAAUCACCUUCCAACGCAAGAUGCACC